rnacentral:rRNA from 1 species
GAUGAACGCUGGCGGCGUGCCUAACACAUGCAAGUCGAGCGAAGAAAUGAGGAGCUUGCUCCUCCGACGUUAGCGGCGAACGGGUGAGUAACACGUGGGUAACCUACCUCUAAGACUGGGAUAACUUCGGGAAACCGGAGCUAAUACCGGAUAAUAUAUUGAAGCGCAUGGUUCAAUAGUGAAAGACGGUUCUGCUGGCACUUAUAGCUGGACCCGCGCCGCAUUAGCUAGUUGGCAAGGUAACGGCUUACCAAGGCAACGAUGGGUAGCCGACCUGAGAGGGUGGUCGGCGACACGGGAAGUUAGACGCGGUCCAUACGCCUGCGAGACGGCGCAGAAUGGAAUGGUACGCAAUGGGCGGGAGUAUUGCGGAACAACGCCACGUCAGUUGUAGAAGUCCUGGGAUAGUGAAGCUGUGUUUUUAGUUGUGAACAACUUUGUGAGUAACAAUGCACAUCUUGACGGUACCUACAGAGAAAGCCACGGCUAACUACGUG